rnacentral:rRNA from 1 species
UACAGAGGUCCCAAGCGUUGUUCGGAUUCAUUGGGCGUAAAGGGUGCGCAGGCGGUUAUGCAAGACAGAUGUGAAAUCCCCGGGCUCAACCUGGGAACUGCAUUUGUGACUGCAUGGCUAGAGUGCGGCAGAGGGGGAUGGAAUUCCGCGUGUAGCAGUGAAAUGCGUAGAUAUGCGGAGGAACACCGAUGGCGAAGGCAAUCCCCUGGGCCUGCACUGACGCUCAUGCACGAAAGCGUGGGGAGCAAACAGG